rnacentral:misc_RNA from 1 species
AAGAAAUCUCCCACAGAUUCUGUGCACAUCGCAGAGAUCGAAACAAUCGUACCCCGGAUAUCGGAGAUCGCCGAUAAUUAGAGCCAUGUUAUAUCGAAAGGCAGUCGCGUCUCGAUGACGACCGGGGGGGAUUCGGCCUUCGAUCGUCAACGGACGUUCUUCUUACCGAGUAUCUGGAUAUCCUCGGAGCAUCCUUGGCGAAACCAGUUCGUCCUUUUUCAUUCUCUCUAUCGUCGAUCCUCGCGUUCUGAAUUUUCGAGAUGAGAAGGGCCUCCAUUUUAACGGUGCGGAAUCGACGACGCUCUCGCAGGCGAAAAAUAACCGACCAAUGUAACGACGGGCAACGGGCAAAAAAAAAGGCCAAUGCUCACGAAGAAGAUCGUAAAGCGCGUUUGCAAUUUUCUACGCUGGGAGAAUAGCAAAAGCUGAGAUUGGGCGUGCAACAAUGACAAAGAUGGAAGGAAGGAAGAGGAGAAUUGACGAAACGGAGAUGAGGAGGUGAAAAUUUUCGAGUCAAUGUAUACGUCACGUCGCAGAUUUCUUCUUUUGCGGCCCCCGCUGCACCGCAGGAGCGAAGAAGAAGGAGAAGAAGAAUUUGGAGAUCAUCUGAAAUAAGAAGGAAGAAGAAAAUUGCAGAAAAAGGAAAAAGAAAUGACGAAAUAUCUAAGAGGAAGAGGAACCGGAAGAGCUUGCGGUGGUAUAAAAAAAAGAAAAAGAAAGGAGACGCGAUUCGGACGGAAUAUCCUGCAAGAGGAAGAGGAAGCGGAAGAGCUUUAGGUGGUUAAAAAAAAAAUUAAGGACUUUUAUCUCAAUUCUCUCGUACGGUGUGGGAAAAAUUUCACGGGAGGCCGCUGCACCCCGUUGUCCAAGGGGCAUAUUUUCUCACAUCUCUUUUGUUUUUGCUCUUCCGAAGGUAUUCGAGAGCAAAGGAUUUACGACCUUCGUUCGCUGAUUUUAUUGAUAUAUACGGUGUGUAAUCGAAGCAAAAUCCCAACAAUUACGAUCGUUGUAAGGUUACGUUGCAGCG